UGGGGAAUAUUGGACAAUGGGCGCAAGCCUGAUCCAGCCAUGCCGCGUGGAUGAUGAAGGCCUUAGGGUUGUAAAAUCCUUUCGUGGGGGACGAUAAUGACGGUACCCCAAGAAGAAGCUCCGGCUAACUUCGUGCCAGCAGCCGCGGUAAUACGAAGGGGGCUAGCGUUGUUCGGAUUUACUGGGCGUAAAGCGCGUGUAGGCGGGUCGUUAAGUUGGGGGUGAAAUCCCGAGGCUCAACCUCGGAACUGCCUUCAAAACUGGCGACCUGGACUCAAGCAGAGGCAAGUGGAAUUGCGAGUGUAGAGGUGAAAUUCGUAGAUAUUCGCAGGAACACCAGUGGCGAAGGCGGCUCACUGGACCAUUACUGACGCUGAGGUGCGAAAGCGUGGGGAGCAAACAGGAUUAGAUACCCACGUAGUCCCUGAGCGGGCUGGCAAGGCGCAU
rnacentral:rRNA from 1 species